UACGUAAGGUCCGAGCGUUGUCCGGAAUCAUUGGGCGUAAAGGGUACGUAGGCGGAUAAGCAAGUUAGAAGUUAAAUCCUAUAGCUCAACUAUAGCAAGCUUUUAAAACUGCUCAUCUUGAGGUAUGGAAGGGAAAGUGGAAUUCCUAGUGUAGCGGUGAAAUGCGCAGAUAUUAGGAGGAAUACCGGUGGCGAAGGCGACUUUCUGGCCAUAAACUGACGCUGAGGUACGAAAGCGUGGGUAGCAAACA
rnacentral:rRNA from 1 species